rnacentral:rRNA from 1 species
GUCGUAACAAGGUUUCCGUAGGUGAACUGCGGAAGGAUCAUUACCGAGUGUAGGGUUCCUAGCGAGCCCAACCUCCCACCCGUGUUUACUGUACCUUAGUUGCUUCGGCGGGCCCGCCAUUCAUGGCCGCCGGGGGCUCUCAGCCCCGGGCCCGCGCCCGCCGGAGACACCACGAACUCUGUCUGAUCUAGUGAAGUCUGAGUUGAUUGUAUCGCAAUCAGUUAAAACUUUCAACAAUGGAUCUCUUGGUUCCGGCAUCGAUGAAGAACGCAGCGAAAUGCGAUAACUAGUGUGAAUUGCAGAAUUCCGUGAAUCAUCGAGUCUUUGAACGCACAUUGCGCCCCCUGGUAUUCCGGGGGGCAUGCCUGUCCGAGCGUCAUUGCUGCCCAUCAAGCACGGCUUGUGUGUUGGGUCGUCGUCCCCUCUCCGGGGGGGACGGGCCCCAAAGGCAGCGGCGGCACCGCGUCCGAUCCUCGAGCGUAUGGGGCUUUGUCACCCGCUCUGUAGGCCCGGCCGGCGCUUGCCGAACGCAAAUCAAUCUUUUCCAGGUUGACUCGGAUCAGUAGGAUACCCGCUG